rnacentral:rRNA from 1 species
AACCUGGUUGAUCCUGCCAGUAGCGUAUGCUUUUCCUAAAGAUUAAGCCAUGCAUGCCCAUGAUUAGAACGUGUUUGUAGCAUCGAAUCUGCGAACGGCUCCACAUAACAAUUGCAAACCCGCGACAAGCCAAGGGAUUUUCCGUCUAAGAGUAGAAGGUUCAGGAAUUCGCGGCUUUGGUGACGAAAGCAGCAGAGGGUAACUUCUGCGGUCUAGUUACUAGAACUGUGGGACUUGGGCUGACAAAAUUGGUUUAGGGUAUUCGCUUUCAAAACGGAUAUCCCCGGAAAUCCUAAGGUUAAUACGAUAUUAGUGUGCGACGCCCAACGGACUGGCUUGGCGCAAGCUAGGCUGGACCAAGGGCCCCGGACGGCGCUUUCAACUCCCCCACCAAGCAUAAUCGUGUGAUAGGAUCUCCGCUUCAGGCUCGAAAGGUACCAGAUUGGACCAAGAAUACCGUAUCAGAAAGAUGACCCGUUCGGCAUACCGCGUUUUCUCGGCCUUUUUCAUUUCCUUUUCCACCUCCAUCACGGAGGAGGAGAGGGAGGAGGAGGGGGUUGGGAAUGGAAGAAAGCAACGAGAAUCUCAGCAACCGCAAAAGUCUCGCUUUAUUGGGAGAUGUUGGGAGGAUUGGAACUUACUUAGCGGAACUUUGCCACGGACUUUUGACCUAUCAACUCACGAUGAAAGCGCCCACGGUCCGCACAUGGUAACAACGGGUACAGAGGAUCAGGGUUCGAUCCUGGAGAGUGGGCCUUAAAAAUUGCUCACACUUCUAAGGAAGGCAGCAGGCGCGCAACGUUCCCAUUGGGCCAAGCUCGAGGGCGUUACAGGAAGCAUUGGAGCCUGCCCAAUUAAGGGCGGGCUACCAGAAUGGGGCCACCGUAAACAUACGGCCGAGUAACAAUUAGAGGACAAGUCUGGUGCCAGCACCCGCGGUAAUUCCAGCUCUAAUGGCGUAAAUUAAAGUUGCUGCAGUUGAAACGCUCGUAGUCGGGGGAGUCCGGAUGUUUGUUGGGAUACCUUGUGAAAAGGCCCUCUUUCGCGAGGGUUUGCUCACACCAAAAGGUGACUCGAUGGAUGACCGCGUGCUUUCCCAUGAUCCGGUUGGAAAAGGAAAUGUCUGGAGUGGACUCUUUAACGAGGGACCGCGAAGGACAGUGUUUUUGGAACCAUAAGUUGGUGCUUGGGGGAGAACCGCAGGGAGAUGGGUGUAUGGUUGAUUUCCGAUUCUUUUGCGUUGUUAUACAUUCGGUUGAUAAUGACUUCGUGAGAGUUUCUUUGCCUUUCGGGGUGGAGGUUGGCCAUGUGUCCGUUUUUCAGCACCUUUCCCUAUCCCAAACGAGCACCAGAACUUGGAUCCGAGGACGCACUCCCGAGGGUGAUGUUUACAUCGCCUGCAAGACAUGAUCUAAAACAAAAACCCGAUGACUUGGAACACUGUGUCCUUAGGAGAUCUUAGAUCAGUCUUGGACAGCUGGAGGAGUCUCCUAUCAUCCACCCUUCGGGGAGGAGCCUACAAAAUAAGCACCCUGCCCCGGAUUCACCAUGAAUAAAGUAGAGUGAUCGAGGCGAGCCAGUCAAUCAAACCAAAAAGGCAACGUGCAUAUCGCAGCAUGGUAUAACGCACGACGGGGUAACACACCAUGGGAAUCACAGAGGGGCAACUCUCUGCCUGUGGUGGGGGAGGCAACAUCAACUGGGGCUCUGUGCUCUCGAAGUCGUCUCCUUUUGAGACCCUCACGGGUAUCUUGUAAUCCUGAAGUCGUUGAUCUUAUAAAUCGAACCUGUGCGUUUGGUUCCUUUGUUAUGCUUUACUGUGUGAUGAGGGAGUUGGGCGUGCAGGUGAGAGCACGGAUGCCAAUUGGUCAAAAGGGGUGUUCGGGGGUUGCAGAAUCGCUGGGCGAGGGGUGAAAUCCGUUGACCCUAGCGAGUCUACCAAAUGCGAAAGCAGCAGCCAAGGGCAUCUUCAUUGAUCAAGAGCGAAAGUUGAGGGUUCGAAGACGAUCAGAUACCGUCGUAGUCUCAACUAUAAAUGAUACCGACCAGGGAUGUGGCGAUUAGUCCGUCUCGACACCCCCCGACCCUCGGCGAAAGCAAAGUCUUUGGGUUCCGGGGGGAGUAUGGUCGCAAGACUGAAACUUAAAGGAAUUGACGGAAGGGCACACCAGGAGUGGAGCCUGCGGCUUAAUUUGACUCAACACGGGAAAGCUCACUAGGUCAAGAUGCGUGAAUGAAGGACCAGCUGAUAGACUUUUCCCAAUACCGCAAGUGGUGGUGCAUGGCCGUUCUUAGUUCGUGGAUUGAUUUGUCUGGUCGAUUCCGAUAACGAGCGAGACACUAACGAUUUAAAUAGGAUAUCCCCUUUGGACCCGCCUUUUUUGCAGGAAAACGCUCUCUGAUAACCUGGACCUCUCUCCUUUACUGGAGAGGGGACUUAACCUUUGGAAGGGCUAGCUUGAGAUAGAAAUGGAUUCGAUGGCACUGGGACUGGGCUUUUGGUGGUGUAGCAUCCUCUCGGGGACGCUGUGCUAUUGAGAGCUUGGGCCUUUUCUCUUGCCGAGCGAGGGAGGUGGGGACUUUGGCGGAACGCAAAUAUCUUCUUAGAGGUAUCGGGGCUGACAAAGCCCCCAAAAACAGUGCAAUAACAGGUCUGUAAUGCCCUUAGAUGUCCUAGGCCGCACGCGCGCUACAAUGUUGCAGAUAGCGAGCAACAAUCUUAACCGAACGGGUUGGGGACCUUCUGUUGGGCAACUGACAGGAACCCUGAUUCGAAUCACCCCGGGUCUAUCGACCAAUUUGCCUCGUGCUUAUAUCUGGGAAAUCUCCAAGAACGGAAUACUCGUCUGGGCCUGCGCUUUGUAACUAUAGGACACCAACGAGGAAUUUCUAGUAGGCGCGGGUCAUCAGCCCGCGCCGACUCUGUCCCUGCCCUUUGUACACACCGCCCGUCGCUGCUACCGAUUGAGUGGUUUGGCUACGCCCGUGGAUCUGCCUGAACUGAAGCCGGUCUCGCAAGGGACUAUUGACGCUCGGGAUGUGAGAAGCGGUAUUGCCGAGCCGCUAGAGAAGCAGA